AUUGAACGCUGGCGGCAGGCCUAACACAUGCAAGUCGAGCGGAGAAAGGGAGCUUGCUCCUGGAAUCAGCGGCGGACGGGUGAGUAACGCCUAGGAAUCUGCCCGUUAGUGCUGGAUUAAGUCCGGAAACGUGCGCUAAUACCCCAUUAGUCCUGAGGGCGAAAGUGUGGGAUCUUCGGACCUCACUCUAUCAGAUGAGCAUAGGCCGGAUUAGCUAGUUGGGGGGGUGAAGGCCUACCAAAGCGACGAUACGUAACUGCUCGGAGAGGAUGAUCAGUCACACUAGAGCUGGGACAGCGUCCCGCCUACUAAGGGAUGCACCAGUGUGGAAUAUGGGACAAUGGGCGGAAGCAUGAUCCAGACAUGGCGAGUGUGAUAAGAAGGUCUUCGGAUUGUAAAGCCCUUUAAGUUGGGGGGAAGGGCAGUAAGUUAAUACCUUGCUGUUUUGACGUUACCUACAGAAUAAGCACCGGCUAACUACGUG
rnacentral:rRNA from 1 species